CCCAGGUUUCCCUCUACUAUAGCAGUCCCACGGGAACCUGCCUUGCCUCAACCCCCAAACAGUAGCCAUUGUAUUUCCAGAGAAGAAGCUUCCAGCUGGAGCUUUGCAUUCUGAUUCCUCCCCUAACGAUUCUGAUCCAGAUCACAGUAUUACACUUCAUUUGAAGAUUUCCUGCCCAUCUUCUCCUGCCUUUAGCUAUUCUCGAAGCCCUGUCUGUACCAUACCCCAGGUGAAGAUAGAAAUGGGAUCCAAUUAUGAAGAUACCGACGCCGAGAGACAUCACCCACAGGACAUGGGCAGUGAAACUACCCUUUAGUCUCCACGUGCCUUUCCCCCCUCCCCCCCCAUUAUUGAUCCAGAAGUCACUGGGCCUUCCUGGGCCUUAUCCACCACUUAAGAAUUGGACACAAACGUUAUUAGACGAGUUGUGCAACUUAAGCAGUGAGGAAUCCAGAGACUUCUUCUCAGACGUUGUGGGAAAGGCAGUCCAGGAUGCAAGUCUAUGAGGGCACAGGAAUUCCUUAGACUGAAAAC